AAGUCGUAACAAGGUAUCCGUAGGUGAACCUGCGGAUGGAUCAUUAUCACGUUAUCCACGUAUCAACCAUUGUGAACUGUUGUGUAUAUAUAUAUAUUGUUUGUUUGUUUGGGGGGAAAUUUUUGUUUGAUUACAAAAAUUUCUCUUUAACUUAUUAAUAAUAUAUGUAUAUAUAUAUUUUAUUAUUAACUAUUUAAACAAUUUUUAAAUAAUUAAUUCUUUGAACUGAAACAUUUCUUACUCUUCGGAGAAGAAAUAAAAAAUUACGAAACAUAAGAACAACUCUUAGCAACGGAUAUCUUGGUUCUC
rnacentral:misc_RNA from 1 species